GAUGAACGCUGGCGGCGUGUCUAAGGCAUGCAAGUCGAACGGACUGUUAUUUGUAGCAAUACUUAGAACAGUUAGUGGCAAACGGGUGCGUAACACAUUGGUAACCUGCCUCAAAGUCGGGCAUAAUCCCGCGAAAGUGGGACUAAUUCCACGAUGGUCAUCGAAGGUGAGAUUCCUUCGAUGUAAAGUCGCAAGACGCUUUGAGAGGGGCCUAUGGCCUAUCAGCUUGUUGGUGAGGUAACGGCUCACCAAGGGCUAUGACGGGUAGGGGUGUGAGAGCACGACCCCCCUCACUGGGACGUGAGACACUGCCCACGACACCUACGGGUGGGCUGCAGUCGAG
rnacentral:rRNA from 1 species